rnacentral:RNase_P_RNA from 1 species
GCUGCAGGCCGCCUUAUCGCCGUCCGGAAAGGAGGGAGGAAAGUCCGGGCACCACAGAGCAGCAUAGCGGGUAACGCCCGUCACCGCGAGCAAUUGCGGGAGGACAAGUGCAACAGAAAGUAUGUACAGGUAAUGCUGUAGUGAAACCAGGUAAACUCUAUGCGGUGAAAUUUCAAGUAUAUCGGCGUUAUGGGGCUGCUCGCCCUGCCGAAGGGUAGAAAGAUUGAGCGUAUCAGCAAUGCUACGCCUAGAUAAAUGAUAAGGAUUCCUUUUGGAAUACAGAACCCGGCUUACAGGCCUGCUUUUUUU